UACGGAGGGUGCAAGCGUUAUCCGGAUUUAUUGGGUUUAAAGGGUGCGUAGGCGGCCUGUUAAGUCAGGGGUGAAAGACGGUAGCUCAACUAUCGCAGUGCCCUUGAUACUGAUGGGCUUGAAUGGACUAGAGGUGGGCGGAAUGAGACAAGUAGCGGUGAAAUGCAUAGAUAUGUCUCAGAACACCGAUUGCGAAGGCAGCUUACUAUGGUCUUAUUGACGCUGAGGCACGAAAGCGUGGGGAUCAAACAGG
rnacentral:rRNA from 1 species